rnacentral:rRNA from 1 species
CCUACGGGAGGCAGCAGUGGGGAAUAUUGCACAAUGGGGGAAACCCUGAUGCAGCGACGCCGCGUGAGCGAUGAAGUAUUUCGGUAUGUAAAGCUCUAUCAGCAGGGAAGAAGAAGACGGUACCUGACUAAGAAGCCACGGCUAACUACGUGCCAGCAGCCGCGGUAAUACGGCGGGGGCAAGCGUUAUCCGGAUUUACUGGGUGUAAAGGGAGCGUAGACGGGUGUGGAAGCCAGAUGUGAAAGCCCGGGGCUCAACCGCGGGACUGCAUUUGGAACUGUGUGGCUGGAGUGUCGGAGAGGCAGGCGGAAUUCCUAGUGUAGCGGUGAAAUGCGUAGAGAUUAGGAGGAACCCCAGUGGCGAAGGCGGCCUGCUGGACGAUGACUGACGUUGAGGCUCGAAAGCGUGGGGAGCAAACAGGAUUAGAUACCCGGGUAGUC